rnacentral:rRNA from 1 species
GCGCACGCUGGCGGCAGGCUUAACGCAUGCAAGUCGAGCGGGCACUUUCGGGUGUCAGCGGCGGACGGGUGAGUAACGCGUGGGAACGUGCCCUCUGGUUCGGAAUAACUCAGGGAAACUUGAGCUAAUACCGGAUACGCCCUUUUGGGGAAAGGCUUGCUGCCGGAGGAUCGGCCCGCGUCUGAUUAGCUAGUUGGUGAGGUAACGGCUCACCAAGGCGACGAUCAGUAGCUGGUCUGAGAGGAUGAUCAGCCACACUGGGACUGAGACACGGCCCAGACUCCUACGGGAGGCAGCAGUGGGGAAUAUUGGACAAUGGGCGCAAGCCUGAUCCAGCCAUGCCGCGUGAGUGAUGAAGGCCUUAGGGUUGUAAAGCUCUUUUAUCCGGGACGAUAAUGACGGUACCGGAGGAAUAAGCCCCGGCUAACUUCGUG